rnacentral:misc_RNA from 1 species
GAACUGGGUACAGGCCGGCAGCAGGUAAGUGCCGUUCUUGCGGUCCGAGAUCGCGGCGAACGUCGUCGGAUGCGGAUCGGCGACCACGAGCAAUUCGAGCGCUUCAAGGCCUUUCACCAUUUCGGUCAUGCGCGGGAUGGUGUUGCCACCAUGACCCAUGAUGACCACGCCCUUCACGGUAUCCCGCUGAUCGACGUCAUCGGGCUUAGCAAGCGUCGCAUCGAACCAUCGGGUCCACGGGAUGCCCGGCAAUUCCAUGUUCUGCU